CACAAACUCUAAAUGAAAAUAUUUUUAGUCAAGUUCAUAAAUUCAUUGUACGUAGUAAGCGUUUCACUGAUUGAGUGAGUGAGUUUAGUUUUA